AUAUAUAUAUAUAUAUAUCAGUAAUGAUUACUUUGCAGGUCAUAUCGACAACAGAAUUUCAAAACUACCUCUUACACACCAACAACAACUAUUAAAAAAAUUGUGGCAUUUGUGUAAGAUGAAGAAAUUAUGAUGCUAGUGCACCAAUGUGGAAACAAAGAGCUUCAAGGACACAAGACAAAUUUCACAAACUCAGGAUUUGGAUUUAGAUGUGUUUGAUGGGAGAAAACCUAAAUAUCUCUUACGAAAUCAGAAUACAAGUUUUAAAGUUGAAAUUUAUUUCAUCAAGGCAAGUUCAUAUGUGAGCAUUAAUGAGUAGAAAAUUCUUUGAUUGUCAAAGUUUUAUUACAACCUUUUCAGGUUUGGGGAGAAAGGUGAUUGCUCAAAGGAUUUCCUCAAACUUAUGGAUUACUUGAGCCUGUAAUCGCUACUGCACACACAGCACAAUUUGGAAGUAAAGUAUAUUGAAAGAAGCAAUAAUGUCCAAUCGAACAUUAUGUAGCACGGAAACGGAAAUGUGGACAUGGAGAAACGCGGAAAUAGACACGGGAAAACGGCAUUUUCAAAAAUAUAG
rnacentral:misc_RNA from 1 species